rnacentral:rRNA from 1 species
AUUUCUUCGGAUUGAUUCUUAACUGACUGAGCGGCGGACGGGUGAGUUACGCGUGGGUGACCUGCCCCAUACCGGGGGAUAACAGCUGGAAACGGCUGCUAAUACCGCAUAAGCGCACAGAGCUGCAUGGCUCAGUGUGAAAAACUCCGGUGGUAUGGGAUGGGCCCGCGUCUGAUUAGGCAGUUGGCGGGGUAACGGCCCACCAAACCGACGAUCAGUAGCCGGCCUGAGAGGGCGACCGGCCACAUUGGGACUGAGACACGGCCCAAACUCCUACGGGAGGCAGCAGUGGGGAAUAUUGCACAAUGGGGGAAACCCUGAUGCAGCGACGCCGCGUGAGCGAAGAAGUAUUUCGGUAUGUAAAGCUCUAUCAGCAGGGAAGAUAAUGACGGUACCUGACUAAGAAGCCCCGGCUAACUACGUGCCAGCAGCCGCGGUAAUACGUAGGGGGCAAGCGUUAUCCGGAUUUACUGGGUGUAAAGGGAGCGUAGACGGCAAGGCAAGUCUGAUGUGAAAACCCAGGGCUUAACCCUGGGACUGCAUUGGAAACUGUCUGGCUCGAGUGCCGGAGAGGUAAGCGGAAUUCCUAGUGUAGCGGUGAAAUGCGUAGAUAUUAGGAAGAACACCAGUGGCGAAGGCGGCUUACUGGACGGUAACUGACGUUGAGGCUCGAAAGCGUGGGGAGCAAACAGGAUUAGAUACCCUGGUAGUCCGCACGGUAAACGAUGGAUGCCCGCUGUUGGUCUGAAUAGGUCAGCGGCCAAGCGAAAGCAUUAAGCAUCCCACCUGGGGAGUACGCCGGCAACGGUGAAACUCAAAGGAAUUGACGGGGGCCCGCACAAGCGGAGGAACAUGUGGUUUAAUUCGAUGAUACGCGAGGAACCUUACCCGGGCUUGAAUUGCAGAGGAAGGAUUUGGAGACAAUGACGCCCUUCGGGGCCUCUGUGAAGGUGCUGCAUGGUUGUCGUCAGCUCGUGCCGUGAGGUGUCGGCUUAAGUGCCAUAACGAGCGCAACCCCUCUCCUUAGUUGCCAUCAGGUCAAGCUGGGCACUCUGGGGACACUGCCACCGUAAGGUGUGAGGAAGGUGGGGAUGACGUCAAAUCAGCACGGCCCUUACGUCCGGGGCUACACACGUGUUACAAUGGCAGGUACAGAGAGACGGUCCCUUGCAAAAUGGAUCAAAUCCUUAAAGCCUGUCUCAGUUCGGACUGGGGUCUGCAACCCGACCCCACGAAGCUGGAUUCGCUAGUAAUCGCGCAUCAGCCAUGGCGCGGUGA